UUUUUAUGAGAGUUUGAUCCUGGCUCAGGAUGAACGCUGGCGGCGUGCUUAACACAUGCAAGUCGAACGAAGCAUUUAGAACAGAUUAUUUCGG
rnacentral:rRNA from 1 species